rnacentral:rRNA from 1 species
CAGGACGAACGCUGGCGGCGUGCUUAACACAUGCAAGUCGAACGAUGAAGCCCCUUCGGGGGUGGAUUAGUGGCGAACGGGUGAGUAACACGUGGGCAAUCUGCCCUGCACUCUGGGACAAGCCCUGGAAACGGGGUCUAAUACCGGAUACGACACAGGGAGGCAUCUCCUCUGUGUGGAAAGCUCCGGCGGUGCAGGAUGAGCCCGCGGCCUAUCAGCUUGUUGGUGAGGUAACGGCUCACCAAGGCGACGACGGGUAGCCGGCCUGAGAGGGCGACCGGCCACACUGGGACUGAGACACGGCCCAGACUCCUACGGGAGGCAGCAGUGGGGAAUAUUGCACAAUGGGCGCAAGCCUGAUGCAGCGACGCCGCGUGAGG